UUUUUGUUUAAACGCACAAACAAAAAAAACCCAUCUUAUUCCUUAUAUGACCUGUCAUUUUAUACCGACAUAGAUAUUAUUGUGUUGACGUGAAUAUCGUAGUUGUUGCUCAGAGCCUUUUCCAAACAAUUUCAGGCAUUCAAUCUGGGCUUUGCUAUGUGUGGUGGGGGGUUACGCGACGGUUGUCUUCAAUGCAGGCGGUGCUUGAUGAUCAGGCUCAAUGGUUACUUAUUGGAACCGUUUCAAAUCGAACACUAGAACGUCUUUCUUUAACUCUCGAGUCAUUGCUUAAUAAACUGGAAUUUUUGAAAGCAUCCUGUUCGAAGUGGAAGGCAAAACAGCUGCGAAGGCUUAUGAAGGAUGACGGCUACACGAUAGUGUUGAAGACGAUAGUGGUUGACACCAUGCUAAAAGAAAAGGAGGCGGUAACAAGAGAAAAAAAAAUUAACUCGGACAAUUUGAUAAACUUGCAUCUCGGUACCUGUUGAAGCAAUCUAUACUGGCGGCCAAGGUCGUGAACAGGGCCGACUCAAGGCACCGGCAACUCAGGCAGUCGUGCGGCGCGCCAUUUGCUAGGUGCCAUGUGCUAGGGGGCGUCAAUGGGGGCGUGACAAAGACAAGGAAAUUUCCACGACCGUCAGCUUGCACACGCCGAUGUUCAACUUGCCCGGGGCGCCAGCAACUCCAGGGCCGGCCCUGGUCGUGAAGCACUGAGCUGACGAUUCGUUAUAUUGCUCGAGGUCUGAUUUGAUCCAGGUCUCCAGGUGGAUAUGAACUGGGACGGGGCUAUGAGCAGAGUGUUUCAUCCAGAAAUGGGCUGAGAGGAAUCUAUCAUUGAAAGCUCAGGCAAAGGGGGUAAAUGCUUAUAUCAUUUAUCACCGACUGGUUCUUGUGCCUUACUCAGGUUUUCGUUUAACCACAUUGGAGCAUUAGCAUUUUUACUUCUCGUGAAAAGAACGCGUGCCAUUAGUUAGACGAACCAUCUGCUGUUAACAUCCGCAGCGUGGCAUGCAUGGUCUGAUUUGUAGGCAAGCACUGAAGUUACAACAUCCGAGACGACAGCUAUCAUGCAGAAAAUGCCAGCUCCCAGAUAGAUCCUGUUUUCUGAUAAGAUCAAUGGAACAACACUAACUUCAUUCUUGAACCAAUAUAGUUCAAAAACUUUUUGUGUAUUUCCCAAUGGCACUGAUAGCACAACAUAAAUAUUUGAUCAAAGUUGAUCUUCAAAACUAGUAUUGCUUCAUGAAAAAUGUGAAACAGUGAAUAAGAAUUUGAAGGCAAAAUGAUGAAUGAUAAUAAUGAAAAAUUCACUGAAAAUUAUUUCAGAAAUUGUGUCUUUAAGGAAAAAUUGACCGACUUAUGAAAAUAUAUAACUUUAUUCAGAAAAUUUUUUAAAUUACAUGAAAAUAGUGCUUUCGAAACUUCCAGAAUUUUCAAGUUCAUAUUUUUUAUGUAAAAACCAGACAAAAUCAAUAAAGGAAAUAUUAUUACAUAGAAAGAGUAAUUGGAAAAUGUAUUGAUAGAUAUUGAUUUCUUCUUAAGGUACAAAGUUGCUUUCUCAGAGAAUCAAAUACAGCUGACUGAAUCAACCUUCCAAUAUGGUUGGUGUGCUUUUAAUAGGUCUCAAAAGGAUAAAAAGCAGACAUAAAGAAUUUUAAACCCCAAAUUUAUAGGGAUAGUGUUUAAAGAAUUAGUCAGACAGCUUGUGUUUGUCGACUCAUCAACUUUCUUCAUUAAGCAAAUAUUGUAAAAAUGAAAAAGUAUCGAUAGAAA